CCAAUAGCGUAUAUUAAAGUUGUUGCAGUUAAAAAGCUCGUAGUUGAAUUUCGGGGUCAGUAGGUUGGUCGUGCCACCGGUACGUACUGGUCUCACUGAUUCCUCCUUCCUGAUGAACUGUAAUGCCAUUAAUUUGGUGUUGCGGGGAAUCUGGACUGUUACUUUGAAAAAAUUAGAGUGUUUAAAGCAGGCUAACGCUUGAAUACAUUAGCAUGGAAUAAUGAAAUAGGACGUUCGAUCCUAUUUUGUUGGUUUCUAGGAUUGACGUAAUGAUUAAUAGGGAUAGUUGGGGGCAUUAGUAUUCAAUUGUCAGAGGUGAAAUUCUUGGAUUUAUUGAAGACUAACUACUGCGAAAGCAUUUGCCAAGGAUGUUUUCAUUAAUCAAGAACGAAAGUUAGGGGAUCGAAGACGAUCAGAUACCGUCGUAGUCUUAACCAUAAACUAUGCCGACUAGGGAUCGGAUGAUGUUAAUUUUUUAAUGACUCAUUCGGCGCCUUACG
rnacentral:rRNA from 1 species